UUGUUCAUUUAACUAACCAUCAUUUAUUCCUCUCUCCUCUUAUGCUCCACCACUUGAGCUGCUGCUGUUCACAUAAUGUGGACUAAAAAGUGAGUGUAAACUGGUUUUGACUUUAAGAAAAUGUAUUUAUUAUUAUAAAUACAGAAAAUGUAAUAUAUGUCAUCUGUCAACUAGAUGUACACUAUAAGCUUACUUACUAAUGACUGUUUAUAUUUCUCUACCUUUAUCUUAACUCCACCUUCUGAGCUGCUGCCAUUCACUGUGGACGACAAAGAUGAGGAUGAGCUUUUGAUUUGGACAAAGUGACCUAGAAUAACCUAAAUGCUGUGAACUAGUACAGUGACUCAUCUCUUCUGCAGCCUCAUGACAAAGACAGGAUCCUUCCUUCUGACCAGAUCAGACUGUUCAUGUUUUGUGACUAGAGUCACUAAUGAAGCACAGGUCAACUUUCACCAGUUGACUGAGAGUAAAUCUCUAAAUAGUAGCAACAGUGCUGAACACACAGAACCACCUUCAGCACGCAGCUGAACUGGUUUGAUGUUUGUUCAUUAAACAAAGUGACAUCUGGAGUGAUGCUGUGUUUGUGAGAUUAUUUUAACCUCAGUGAUGUUAUAGUGGCUAGACAACUCCCAAAAUAAGUUUGUUUGAAAUGUCAGGGCUUAACUCUUCUCUGUCAUUACAAAUCAAUGAAGCAAUCAAUUAAAGGUAACAACAUUAUAGAAGUUAAAUUUACAUAUACAUACAUGAUUUAUAAUACAUUUAUAUAUAAGGUUUGAUAAAUUAAUAUUAUCAAAUUAUGACACCUACACAAUAUCGUGUAUACAGUAAUUAAGCAUUUAGGUAUAUAAGACAAAACAAAAUGAUGCUUCCUCUAUAAAAUCCACAUAGAUAAAACUAAGGCUGUAGCCAUUCUGACAGGACUUGAUGAUGCUGGAAGGAUGAAAAGUGGAGAAAAAAGAAUCAUCUUUGAAUCACAUUAGGUAAAAUAAAUAAAUAAAUAAAUAAAUAAAUCUAGUUUGUCCUGAGGGUGGCGGCAGAGAUACAGCCAUGUUGCUACUAACAUCAGAGAGGUUUAUCUUUUGUAGGUGGUAAUUUAUGUCACACUGAUCUCUCAUCAGACUUCAUCCAUAGCGUCUGCUUACUAUGAUUCUAAAAAUUCAUUUCAGUUUUUAAACAGAAUGUUACAGAAACAGCGAUAGAAGAUUAUAACCUCAGUGUUUGAUGAAGCCAUCACCCAAAUUGGUCAACAAACACUGCACCAUUAAAACAAUCAAUGCAUAAUUUCUACAUUAUGUGCUGUGUGAUCCUACUGUGCAUACGAAUUCGCAUACUGCACUUUACAUGUGAUUCUUCAGCUUUGUUUAGAUUACAAUUAGGAAAUAAACUCCUGAUUGUAGCAUUAUUGGUGCUAUACUCCUGAUGUAAUGACAUACAUGCAUACAUGUUAUUACUACAUACACACAGCUGAACUGAACCUGUGCCCUUAUGUUCCUUUUGUAUGGACUGUUUUAUUUACUUCACUGGUUAAAAAAGAUAAUUCCGGUUUUACCAUCCUUUCAGCUAAACCCAGAGGCUGAAAUGAAGAAAAUUGAAUCCUUGUUAAAGAGCAUUAGUUUAUUUUCCACAGGUUACUUCAGAAACAGGUAAUUAUGUACAAAAUCUGGAAUGUUGGAUAAAUGCAUAUCAAUCAUCAUCUCACUGUGGCUGUUUCCAGAGAAACCUUAGAAAUACUAGCUAUACAUUAAAACAGGUGCCUCUGCAUUGCAAUUUAUUGCUGGUUUUACAAUCGCAAGUCACUAAUGCCAUUAUUGACUCUUUUCUCAAUUUUUUUUUAGAGUAUUUACAAUUUGAUUAGUAAGGUCUAAAGUCCACAGAAGACUGCUAAAUAAAUAAGAACAAUACGGGAGCAUAAGAAACAGACCCACAUGGAUGAAGAAAAUGUGACAUGUUUUAUCUCCCUAGAUUGUCUACAAUGUCAGACUGUAUGUUUUUGCCAUGAAAAUAAAGUGACCAUUACCCAGAAAUUUUCCCCCUACUCUUAGAAAGUCAACACAAAUCACCAUUAAAAUUAAAACAAAUAAUAUAAACAACAGUUCAUCUGUGUGAAAUACAACAUGUGUGACAAAUGUGGGAAAUGCACAUUGUCAUUUGCCAGUGAAUAUAUAUAUAUAUAUAUAUAUAUAUAUAUAUAUAUAUUUUUUUUUUUUUUUUAACCAAUUUUAGAUUCAAUUUAAAAGUUGAGGGUAAAGCUUCACUUUUGAACAGCUACCUUCCAACAGUACGACUAAUAUUAAAGGGAUAAAAAUUUAAAUUCUGUUAUAUAUUGUACAAACAAUUCAGUGGUCACAAAUGUACUGCUGGAAUUAAUGGGGUCAUUUACUUGGUGUGUGAAUUUUAUCAUUUCCGUUUGUUUUGGAAACACGUCUCACUGAAUAAUUACUCACCAGUGAAUGAAUAUUAACAGGCUGAUUUCAUGCAACUGAGAGGUUCAUGUAAAAUUUAAAAACACAUUUUUUUUUCUCUCUGACACUUUUUCCACAAUCAGUACAAAUGUUCUGAGAUGCAGCUGUGACUGGAUUAGUUUUUCAACAGAGUAAAAGUUGAUUAUUUUUGCACAAAUGAACACCAGGAGCUGAUGGUAUUCUAAGCAACAGUAAAAAGCCUUGGGCAAAGUGACACAAACAUUCACUUUUACACAAUGCAGAGAAAUCUUUUUUUUUCUAGCACUACCACACAUAUUUCCUGUGCCGUUUCAUUACAAAAAAAGAGAAAGGAAAAAAAAAUCUUUUUCACGAUAUAAAAAUGUAAAAUCAUCAGGGAUUACUAAAAGGUUGUGUAAAUUUAAAAAUGCGAUUUGAUGUUUUUUUGAAUGAAAAUAAAGGCUUUAAAUAUUGCUUUAAGCCGUUAUGCUGCAAAUGUACUCAGAAGGUUGUGAACAUGUGACUAUUGCUUGGGAUCUGGGGUCAUAGGUCCUCCCCUAUUCAAACAGUUCAAGGUCUAUGGCACUUGACAACUUACUUCUCCCAACUCUAUUCUCUGUACAGCAAAGAAAAAAAAAAAGACUGAGACAUUGCUCCAAAGUGAUGAGUAAAAAGCAUGAUAAAACAUUUUUACAGACACAAAAGGCAAACUGUGGUCUUCUCCCAUGUAAAAAAUGAAACUGCCAGAUGCUGAAACACUUAUAAUACAAACACUCAUCUCAUCAGUGGCUGUCUGAAAGAUGAAGCCCUUAAAAAUAAAACACGAGUGAAACCAUGACCAGUUCUUAUUUGAAUUUCUUUCUUUAGUUGUCUCCUGCUUUUGCCGUCUGUCCACUAUUUCCAAACUUGCUUUGGUUAACUAGCAUAACCCACAUCUUUCUCUGCUUGAGGGAAAAGUUUUACAUUUUGGGAAAUGUGCGUAUUUGCUUCCUGGUGGAGCGUUAGAUAAGAAGACUGAUACCAUUCUGAUAUCUGUUAAAUGUAAUGCUCUAGCCAGCAGCUCAUUAGCUUAGCUUAGCAUAAAGACUGGAGAUGGGGGGGGGGGGACUGCUAGCUAAGCUC